rnacentral:lncRNA from 1 species
CAGAAUUCUUUUUAGAUGCUGAAGAAACAGGUGACUGAUAGAUUUUGUUUUCCUUAAGAUCUCUUCAUCAUGUCUUGGGAAAUGGUACCUGACUUUUAAAAAGGAUCAUCAAGACAUUCCUAAUACUCGUUCAUCACAUUUUGCAUGGCACAGCAGGUGAUUUCAUUAUUGAAUGUAUUAUUUAUAGACCUCUGACCUUUUUGUUCAUUGUGUAGAUGUUCUAACUUGCAUGCAUACAUAAUUUACUAAUGUUCAUCCUUAGAAUUGUAAUUUCCAUCUUACUUGAGCUAUGAUAAAAAGGUUUACUUUGACCUCUAGCACCUCUAGUACACAGUGACUAAUUCACAGGAUUGUUAGUUGCAUCUGUACGCUAUUGACUUGUCAAAUUUCCGUUGCAACAAGGUACUUGUGUUUUGCACUGUUUUUUGUAUUGUUCUGUAUUUUGUUUUUACUAAUUGUAUAUUUUCAGAUCUUAGCUAACUUUAAACUGGAAAUAAAUGAAAUUGUUACAAACUAAAUGUUUAGUAAGCAUGAAAAUAAAUUACAUGGAAGCUCUGAUUUUAUAAUAUUUAAAAUAUAUGUGUCAAAUUUAUAUAUAUAUAUAUAUAUGGAACAAAUUGAGAGCACUCAUUGGAUAUAGUAAACAAAAAAAUUUAUUAAAUCAAACGCAUAUAAAUCAACGUUUCGACCGUCUAGCGGUCUUUAUCGCUAGACGGUCGAAACGUUGAUUUAUAUGCGUUUGAUUUAAUAUAUUUUUUUGUUUACUAAAUCCAAUGAGUGCUCUCAAUUUGUUCCAUUUGUAUAUUUUGCACGGAGAGGCACCUGGUCAUUGCUGAAUUAAUGCUUUUGUUAUGGGAUGAGUGCCAGAAACUAUUGUGAUUUUUAUAUAUAUAUAUAUAUAAAAUAUAUAUUUUAAAUAUAUUUGUACAUUUUUAAAAUAUAUAUUUUUUUCUGAUAAUGUCCUAAUGCACCCAAGUAAAUGUUCUAUAAGACAUUAUCAAACAUAUUAAUCUUUCUAUUUCAAAGUCCUUUCACAUAUUAUACAAAAAAAUAAAAUGUUUGUUUAAUUUGUGUAUUAUAUUUAUUGGGAAUUUCAAAUGUAUGGCCAAAAGAGCUAAGCUAGAAAAAAAAUUUCUAAUUAAGCUGCGUUUCCAGUUUGGCUCUUUUAGCCUUAAAUUUGAAAUUCACUUUGAAUUUCAAAUAAUUCUCAUCCUGUUCAAGAGGAAGAUUUAUCAGAGUGUUAUGUUAUAAAUGUGAAUGCUAACAUGAUAAAGGGAAGGAGUCACCAAAUGAAUGUGCCUCAUGGUUCUCAUGGUGGUUUCUCCACUUGUAGUACUUAAAACCACUUUUUAGAACAGAACGGUUUGAUAGAUUACCGUUUAAAUGCCGUCUCCACUGCUUGUUACAUACAACAAAUCCACACAACCACUAUACCCUCUCAACUCCCUGAUCAGUGAGAGGUGACAGGUAUCCUUAGAAACCCAUUAAGCAUGAUGUCCAUGUCUGGAUUACCCUUUAAAUCUAUGAAGAGGUGUUGGGAAUUUCUAACUACAGUAUUGCAAUUCACUACAAUUUACUAUUUAGUAAGCAAACCUUUUAAAUGAGUAACACUAUAGCUGUAUGAAAUACUUGAGUACUAAAUAUUUCAAGAAUUUUUAAUGUAUAUUUUAAAAAAAACAACAUAUGUACAUAGGUAAAAUUCAUGUCCAUAAUGUAAUAACUACUUUAAAACAGAGCAAGCUGAUCUAAUUAAUAAUUCAUGUGGUGGUGUCAAUAAAGAUGCAUGUAGUAUAUUACCAAGCUCUGAUGCUUGUAUAAAUGACUUAAUAUACUAUUAAACUGCAUCACCAAUUCCUUCAAUAUUUGAAGGAAUUAUUUAUUCUUUAGAACCUUCUCAAGUCCUCAACACAAUCCAAUAUUACUUUAUAAAUGUCAUCCAAAUCUCCUGAUUUUCAGAAUCAGGGACAUGAUUUCAUACUGAGCAUUAUUAGCCAGAACUGUUUACAUAUGUAUAGAUUAAUAGCACAGAAAUAUUUAAAUAUACAUCUAUGGGUGUGUGCACUGUUCUCUAAUAGGAAUUUAAGAGUGUAUAAAAAUGCCGUUUAGCAUGAUCUUUAAAGACUACAUUCAAUUCAGUCUUCAAAUCUUUCAUAAAUUGAUGCAUUUUGUUUAUAAUCCAUUAAAAAAAUAAUGUUUGGAUGUUAUUUUCACAUGGUGCUUAAAUUAAAUGAUCACUCCAAGUAACAUAACCACUAAAGUACAUUGUAGUGGUUAUGGUGCUAGGAAUGCCUUGGCUACCCCUCAUUGUAAGUAGUCAUACAUUUUAAAACACUUUUGCUUCUUACCUGUAGCACCUGUAGUGUUCUGCAGCCAGAAAGUCAGGAGAGUGUUUCCAUCUCUCUGGCUGAGGUAGUGGACAUGGGAAGCCAGAGCAUUGUAAAAUUUUUGACUACUUACUAUGAAGGGGCAUCAGGGUGUGCUGUAGUGGUUAUGGUGCUUGGAGUGUUCGUUUAAUCAAAACAUAACAAAAAAAGCCUGCAGAGAAACAAUAAUAUUGCAAAUAGUCAAAUACUGAUUUUAAACCCUAACCUUAAUCUAAAAUGGAGUCUUAACCCAAUUGAAUCUCAAGUGGCAAGCCAAAAUCAAAGUAAAACCUAUUUGAAGCCAUCAUUGAUGUCAGCUACUAAAUAGCCCGUCUUUAUGUUAAAAUCAAAGUCAUUAAUCAGUGCUGUAGUGUCCUGGCUCCCUCUCACAGUAAAUAGCGAACCCAUUCAAGAACAGCUUGGCAACUUACGUGCGGUCUGCUGGACGCCAAUCACUCUCCUGGAAAGGCCAGAAGCUCCUGCAAGAGGUCAGCUCAUUGUCUGAGAGCGUCACAGCCAAUGAACAUGUCUCUGGACAGCUAUAUUUAGCUCAGCACUACACAGGAGGCAGCAGCAUUUGUCCAGCUACCCUAGGUGGAUUUAAAACAAUUUUUAAAAGGUUUGACUACUUACUGUGGGAGGGUGCAAGGGUACUCCUGGCAUGUACUCACUACAGCAAUCUAUGGCGGUUCCGGUCCUUGGAGUGUUCCUUUAAGGCAUCACAAUAUUUAUCAAAUAAAUAUUUUUACCACUACAAUGCAUGUGCUGCCCUAAGGGUUAUCUUGCUGUUUAAAAACAGAAGGUAAAAAUGUACAAUUACAUUGCUUGUAUUGCAUAUGCUAUAAACCUGUCUUUGGCAACAGCUUCCAUUUAAUAUCCUGUACAUACGGAUCUGGAUAAUUACACUGGAACUUUGUCCCAACCCAUAAUCUUUUUUAAUAUUAUCAAUGUCGAAGUUAUUUAAACUCAUACAGGUUUUGCUGCAUUCCGUUGGUGGAGGUGUGGCUUAUUCCUACAGGUAAAUCGCUCUUUGAACAGUGUGAACUAUUUCAAGAUAUGACUGCAUGCUGUUCCGUAACAUGGUAAAACUCAGUGUCUUUUAGCCACUAUAUUCAUCUUUUUUUACAGUUUAGAGGAGAAUAAGCUGUCAUAUUUUUGUAUAUUUUUUAACUGGAGAGCAAUCAGAAUAUGAAGGUUUAUUUCACUUCCUUAUUAUUUCAUAUCAUUAUUUUAAUGUAUACAUACGAAACCAUAUACAUAGGUUUUGUGGCAGGGCUAUGCAAUGUAUGAUAAUAUACUAUAACUGUAUACUCUAGAUGAUGUUUCUUUGAAAUACUUUAUUUCACAGUACUUUUUUAAAAAUCCUUUUUUUUUUUUGUUUCAGAGAAAAGCCUUACAUGGAGCUACCAUUCACCAAUCUGGAAGUAGCUUUCAUUUUACUGGCUUUUAUAAUUUUUUCCUUAUUUUCCUUGGCUUCUAUCUACAGCAAACCAGAUGAAAACAAUGAAGGUAAUAUAUUAUGCAGGUCAUUAAUUCUUAUUCGUGUACAGUAUAUUGCUAAAGAAACUGUAAAAUUGUUCCAGUCUUAUUUAGCUCUUUUAAGCAAAACGUUCUUUGAUAUGUGGACUCUUUAUAUAUGCCAUUUUACAAAGGCUGUGGACAGGCCACCUUUCCACUUGUGAGUCCUCUGGAUGAGUCAAGCUUGCAGCCCUUCCCUUGCCUUUGUGAUGAUCAUCCCAGGUGCAAUCAGACUGAUGUAGAGAAUGAAAUUCCUAUGUGUCUGCAAUUUCAAUGAGCCUGUCAACCAUGUGCAUAACUAACCAUUGACUUACUUACAUACAUACAUAUUAUUAGCCACUAACAAAUCAUUUUCACUACAAGCAAUGUCAACAUUUAUAAAUGGCAGGUUAAAUGUUAUCAUUUUAAAUGGAUCGUUAAAAAUGUAGGUUCGUUAAUUUGUGAUGAACAGCUAGUGAUUGAUUGAGAGCAUUGGCUGAUACUCUAAACCUAUCACUGACAUCAUUUCAAAAUCUGCUCUCAAUGCUCUGUGAAAUAGCCUUCAUUAUCGUGACUAUAAUACACAAAUAUGCUGCAGAUUACCGCAGAGCUUUAUAAUACACUCACACAGUGCAUAAUACUGUGGUAUGCUAUAAUAUACUCAUACAAGUUGCAUAUAACUGCAAACCUCUAUAAUGCAAUAUUACUAAAGGACUAAACAAUACACUCACACACUUCAUUUACUGGUGAGCUCUAAAAUACACCCAUUUACACUGCAUGUUACUGUGGCGCUCUCUAAAAUACUCUCAUACACACUGCAUAUUACUGUGGCGCUCAAUAAUUCACACAUACACAGUGCAUGUUACUGUGGCGCUCUAUAAUUUAUACACACACUGCAUGUUACUGUGGUGCUCUAUUAUUCACACAUACACACUGCAUAUUACUGUGGCGUUUAAAAUUAAUACACACACUGCAUAUUACUGUGGCGCUAAAUUAUUCACACAUACACACUGCAUGUUACUGUGGCGCUCAAUAAUUCACACAAUGCAAUAUUACUAAAGGACUAAACAAUACACUCACACACUUACUGGUGAGCUCUAAAAUACACCCAUUCACACUGCAUGUUACUGUGGCACUCUAUAAUUAUUACACACACUGCAUAUUACUGUGGCACUUUAAAAUUAAUACACACACUGCAUAUUACUGUGGCGCUCUAUAAUUCACACAUACACACUGCAUAUUACUGUGGCGCUUUAAAAUUAAUACACACACUGCAUAUUACUGUGGCACUCUAUAAUUCACACAUACACACUGCAUGUUACUGUGGCGCUCAAUAAUUCACACAUAAAGACUGGAUGUUACUGUGACGCUCUAUAAUUUAUAAACACACUGCAUGUUACUGUGGUGCUCUAUAAUUCACACAUACACACUGCAUGUUACUGCGAUGCUCAAUAAUUCACACAUAAACACUGUAUAUUACUGUGGCACUCUAUAAUUAUUACACACACUGCAUAUUACUGUGGCACUCUAUAAUUAAUACACACACUGCAUAUUACUGUGGCGCUCUACACUGCAUAUUACUGUGGAGCUCUAUAAUUAAUACACACAGACUGCAUUUUACUGUGGUGCUCUAUAAUUCACACAUACACACUGCAUAUUACUGUGGUGCUCUAUAAUUCACGCAUACACACUGCAUGUUACUGUGGCUCUCAAUAAUUCACACAUACACACUGCAUGUUACUGUGGCACUUUAUAAUGUAUACACACACUGCAUGUUACUGUGGUGCUCUAUAAUUCACACAUACACACUGCAUAUUACUGUGGUGCUCUAUAAUUCACAUAAACACACUGCAUAUUACUGUGUCACUCUAUAAUUAAUACACACACUAAAUAUUACUGUGGCGCUCUAUAAUUAAAACAUACACAAUGCAUGUUACUGUGGCACUCUAGAAUUCAUACACACACUGCAUGUUACUGUGGCGCUCUAUAAUUCACACAUACACACUGCAUAUUACUGUGGUGCUCUAUAAUUCAAACAUACACACUGCAUGUUACUGUGGCGCUCUAUAAUUAAUACACACACUGCAUAUUACUGUGGCACUCUAUAAUUCAUACACACACUCAGGGGCGUACUUGGAGCAUUUGGCACCCGGGGCGGAUCCUAUAUUUGGCACCCCUAACUUUAAAAUGUAAAAAACACCAGGAUUUUUUUUUAUGUAUUUAGCACUGAGCAGUGUUUGUAUAUUUUUUAUGUAAGCAUGUUUUUGUAUGGAGUAUGUGUGAGAGCAUGUUCGGGUGUGUUUGCACGUAUUGGCAUUUGAAUGCAGGUGUGCAUUUUUUCUGUAGUGUGGUUUUUGAAUAUGGUGGUAUGUUUUUAUUUAGUGUUGACAUUUGGAAGCAGGGUUGUAUUUGUGUGUAGUGUAGGCGAAAUGCUGAGAUGUAUGUACAUAUACUCAUAUAUACACACACUGGCACACGUACAGAUACACAGACACAUAGGUACACACAUGCAAUUACAUAGAAAAAGAGUCAUAUACAGAUACAUGCAAAUACUGACACACAUACAGACACACACACAGAGAGAGACACAAAAGCACACAUACAGAUAGACACAUACAGAUACACAGACACACCGAAACAAACACAGACACAUAAACAGAUACACAGACACACCAAAACAAACACAGACACACAAACAGAUACACAUACAGAUACACAUGUAUAAGUGUGUGUUUGUAUAGUGAAUGCAGUGUGUUUGCAUAGUGGAUGCAGUGUGUGCGGUUGUAUAGUGGAUGCAGUGUGUGUAGUGGAUGCAGUAUGUAUAGUGUAUGUAUAGUGUAUGCAGCUUGUGUGUAUAGUGUGUAUAGUGUAUGCAGUGUGUGUAUAGUGUAUGCAUAGUGUAUGCAGUGAGUGUAUAGUGUGGGCAGUGUGUGUAUAGUGUGUGUAUGGUGUAUGCAGUGUGUGUAUAGUGUAUGUAUAGUGUAUGCAGUGUGUGUAUAGUGAAUGCAAUGUGUGUAUAGUGUGUAUAUAGUGUAUGCAGUGUGUGUAUAGUGAAUGCAUCUUGUGUGUAUAGUGUAUGCAGUGUGUGUAUAGUAAAUGCACCUUGUGUGUAUAGUGUAUGCAGUGUGUGUAUAGUGUAUGCAAUGUGUGUAUAGUGUGUGUAGAGUGUAUGCAGUGUGUGUAUAGUGAAUGCACCUUGUGUGUAUAGUGUAUGCAGUGUGUGUAUAGUGUAUGUAUAGUGUGUGUAUAUGUGAUGUAUGGGCGGUUGGGCUGUGUAUGAGUGUGUGAGUGUAUGAGUGUAUGUAUUGUGAUGUAUGGGCAUUGGGCAGUUGGGCUGUUGUUGGCUGUGAAUGAUGCACUUCCUUUCUUUUGGUUCUUUACUUCCUGUUCCUGUUGAUGGAAUGUUCCAGGGACUUGAAAUGGUGGCUGCAGAAACCCUGUGUAACAUGGCAGCAAUAUGAAGAUCCUAUUAUAUAUGUAUUAAUAAAGUGACUACUUCGUUAUACAGGAAUUAUUGACUGAUUUGUACAAAACAUCACAGUGGCGACGAGGCUGUAGAACCCUAACUGACAUGGCAGCCAUUGGCACUAUAAAGGACUUUGAUCCUGACUCGGAUUUAUGGGCCUCUUGGGUUGAAAGGCUUGAACAAUAUUUUGCAGCUAAUGAUAUUCCUGACAAUAAACAGGUCGCUGUUUUCCUAACAGUUAUAGGAGCCAGAACGUAUGAUACGCUAAGGGGCCUCUUACACCCAUAGAAAACUGCCAGCAAGCCAUUGGCAAGCCUGAUUACUCUGUUAACUAGCCAUUUCCAACCAAAACCACUAGAGAUAGCAGAGAGAUUUAAAUUCUAUAAAAGAAGACAAGAGCCUGGUGAAUCAGUUUCAGCAUAGGCCAUUGCAUUACGGAAACCCGCCAGCACCUGCUGUUUAGGGGACUACCUGCACACUGCUCUGCGAGACCAGUUUGUAAUGGGCAUUGCAAGUGAUGCAGUGCUAAGGAGACUGCUUACAGACGAAGAUUUAACAUUUAAAAAGGCAAUGAACAUGGCAAGCAUUAUAGAACAAGCCUCUAAGGAUGCUAAUCUAUUACACAGCAGACUGGACAACACACAGGAGGCAGAGCUAGACAUUUUAAAAUUAGACGCUAAUGCACGGAGUAUACCACAGGGAAAGAGACUUUCAAAACAGGAACAUUCACAUUACAAAUGUUAUCGCUGCGGAGCUGCUACACAUGUUGCAACUACAUGCAGAUUCAAGGAUGCCAAGUGUCAUGCUUGUGGUAAAAUGGGCCACCUACAAAGAGUGUGUAAAUCCACAGCAGAGAGAGGCAGUAAUCGCUUGAGAGACAGAGCAAAGAAUGCAUAUAGUGUACAAAUGCAGGAGUCUUCUGAGGAUUCAGAUGAACAAUUUCCUGUCCGAAAUUUAAAAAUAUAUAAAAUAGGUUCUAAUCUGGUUGCAUUCACAGUUCAGGUUGUUGUAAAUGGAAAGGAACUGACUAUGGAUUUGGACACAGCUGCAGCUGUAUCAGUGAUUUCUUUGACAGACUGGAAACGCCUUGAAAUACAUAGGCCAAUAAUUCAGACAACAGCGAGACUGCAGACAUAUUCUAAAGAGCUGUUAAUACCAGUGGGAUUUGUGACAGUCACAGUUACAUUCAACAAGUGUAAGAAGAAACUACCUCUCUAUAUCUUAGAGAAUGGAGGACCUCCACUUUUUGGUAGGGAGUGGAUAAGGGCUCUCGGGAUGCCACAAGUGCAUAAGUAUCCAUGUCACGUGUUGAAUGAAAAUCAGACCAGACUUGACUGGAUUAGGGAAUUACAGGAAAAAUAUGCACCAGUGUUUGAUGGCCAAUUAGGGACUGUAAAGGGACAACAAGUUUCCUUAGAAUUAAAGGAAGGAGCAACGCCGAAAUUUUUUAAAGCAAGAAUUGUGCCUUUUGCUCUAAGGGCUGGAGUGGAGGCAGAAUUGAGGCGAUUAGAGGAGCUGAAUAUCAUCUCCCGGGUUCACAAUAGUGAGUGGGCUUCGCCCAUUGUUCCUGUGAGAAAACGAAAUGGGGAGAUACGGAUUUGUGGGGAUUUCCGCAUGGCUCUUAACACACAGCUUAAAAUAGAUAAGUAUCCCCUUCCUAGGGCAGAUGAUAUUUUUGCAUCAUUGGCAGGUGGCCAGCAAUUCACUAAAAUUGACUUGAAAAAUGCAUACCUACAGUUAUCUGUACAUCCAGAUUAUUGACCACUACUUACGAUUAAUACCCAUCGGGGGCUAAUCAGGUAUAACCGUAUGGAUUUUGGCAUUUCACCUGCACCAACUGUCUGGCAGCGAACAAUGGACAAGCUGUAAACUGGAAUUCCUGGGACACAGUGCCUGUUAGAUGACAUGCUGGUGACGGGUAAAUCAGAGGAGGAACAUAAACAGAAUGUAGAGGCAGUUUUGCAAAGACUUAUGGAAUAUGGAUUGAAAGUAGAAUUUGGAUAAAUGCCAAUUCAUGCAGGAUCGUCUUGAAUUUUGUGCUCAUGUAAUUGACAAACAUGGGCUGCAUACAACAGAUGAGAAGGCAUUACAGGAUGCUCCAACUCCACAAAAUGUGACACAACUAGGGUCCUAUCUUGGUCUGUUAAAUUAUUACAACCUUUUUUUGCCAAAUUUAGCUCAUGUCCUGUACCCUUUACAUCGUCUUCUAGAGAGUAAACGACAAUGGCGCUGGACAGUAGAAUGUGCUUCAGCUUUCCAUAAGUCAAAAGAACUAGUGCGUAGUUCACGUCUUUUAGUACACUACGACUUGGAAAAGCCUGUUUCCAUUGCUUGUGAUGCAUCCCCUUACGGACUGUGAGCAGUCCUGUCUCAUUCCAUGGCUGAUGGGACAGACAGGCCAGUGGCUUUUGCCUCUAGAUCGCUCACAGCUGCAGAAAAAAACUAUUCUAAAAUAGAUAAAGAGGCUCUGGCAAUAGUAUGGGCAGUAAAGAAAUUCCAUCUUUAUAUAUAUGGUCGACCCUUCACACUGCUUACGGACCAUAAACCCUUAUUGAAAAUUUUUAACCCACAGAAAGGUAUUUCAAUCACAACAGCAGCAAGACUUCAGAGGUAUGCCUUAACUCUGGGGGCUUAUCAGUAUCAGAUACAAUAUCGUCCAAACGCUCUGCAUUCUAAUGGAGAUGCAUUCUCUAGACUUCCAUUGAAAAUUGAUUCACAAUCAACUACCACAGAAAGAUCUACCAUAUAUUUUAGUGAGGUGAUAACAGCCAGAGUAAUUGCACAGGAGACAGCCAAGGACUCUUUGCUGAGGGAAAUACUUAUUUUUGUACGCAAUGGUUGGCCACUAAAGACUCCAAUACAUCUCAAGUCAUUCCAAACAAGAGCUCAUGAGUUAUCAAUUCGAGAUGGCUGCUUAGUCUGGGGAGAAAGGGUGGUUAUUCCUUUUGUGUUACAACAACAGAUUCUUGAAAUUUUACAUGCAGGUCAUCCUGGCAUAGUCCGCAUGAAGCCAAAGGCAAGAGGUCAUGUAUGGUGGACAACCAUUGUUAAGGAUAUUGCCCGUUAUGUUUCAGGUUGCACUGGUUGUGCACAAGCACAGCUGUACAACCUUGGACCUGGCCUCUAUCACCAUGGCAGAGAAUUCACAUAGACUUUGCUGGACCAGUGGAAAAUAACAUGUAUCUGAUUGCGGUAGAUGCCCAUUCUAAAUGGCUAGAAGUUCUAUUCAUGUCGCAGACCACUGUAGAAGCUACUGUUAAAGCAUUACAGAAACUAUUUGCAACAUUUGGCUUGCCCAGAGUGCUUGGACCGCAGUUUGUUUCUGGCCAAUUUCAGGCUUUUCUCAAGGAAACCGGUAUUCGGCAUCAUCGUACAGUACCGUAUUAUCCUGCUACUAAUGGUCAAGCAGAACGUUUUGUUCAAACGUUAAAGGGUUUUCUGAGAAGUCUGAAAGCAGAAGGAAAGAGACCUGAACAUCAUUUGUCUGAGUUCCUUCUACAGUAUCGAAAUAUACCUCAUCCAACCACUGGACAACCUCCAGCAUGCCUUAUGUUAGGCUGUGAACUCAGGACAAAGUUGGAUCUGCUAAAACCAGAGAUUCAACAAAGGGUCAUCCAGCAACAAUCAAAGAUGCAAGUCGGAAAAGCAGGCCGUUGUUACCAGACAGGGGAUUCUGUUUGGAUGCGUGUAUAUCAUCAGGAGAAUCGUUGGAAAGAAGCAGUGAUAAAGGAAGUUCUGGGGCCGGCGCACUAUAAAGUUUUAACCUCUGAUGGAUGUUAAACACGGAGACAUACAAAUCAACUUCGACCACAUAUAACAGACAACCUAUCAAAGUGGGUAGGGCCACUCAUGCAACCAGACACUGAUAUCUGGCAUGGAGUUUGGCAUGAUGACAUUUCUGAAGUCUGCAAUACACCUGGUACAGAGGCUCAUGAUGUAAUAGGGGAUGAUUUGGAGGAAAUAUGAAACUCAAGAACUGCCAAGCCACAGUUCAAGUAACCAUGAAGGCUGUGGUCAUGAAAAUACUGGCCAUUCAACAAGAGAUAGAAGGGCCACAAAUUACUGGCAACCAGAAGAUCCAUUAAGGGACUAUAGUCGGAGAAACUCAACAGUGAGAAGGCGGAAAUGGUAUCCUAGUAGGAGUAGAAUAAACUGUCCUGAAAAAAAGAUUGUAGAUCUUGAAGAUGAUGGACAGAAUGAUGCAGAUUAAGGACACAUUUUUAAAUAGUUCUUUUAUUAUUGUUGACUUUUUACUAUUUUUUUUUUCUUUGGUUGAGAAAGGAAGGAGAUGUGAUGUAUGGGCGGUUGGGCUGUGUAUGAGUGUGGGAGUGUAUGUAUUGUGAUGUAUGGGCAUUGGGCAGUUGGGCUGUUGUUGGCUGUGAAUGAUGCACUUCCUUUCUUUUGGUUCUUUACUUCCUGUUCCUGUUGGCAGUUGGUGGAAUGUUCCAGGGAUUUGAAAUGGCGGCUGCAGAAACCCUGGGUAACAAGGCUGCAAUAUGAAGAUCCUGCUAUGUAUGUAUUAAUAAAGUGAGUUCUUCGUUAUACAGGAAUUAUUGGCUGAUUUGUACAAAACAUCACAGUAUAGUGUAUGCGAUGUGUGUAUAGUGUAUGCAGUGUGUGUAUAGUGUAUGCAGUGUGUGUAUAGUGUAUGUAUGGUGUGUAUAUAGUGUAUGCAGUGUGUAUAUAGUGUAUGCAGUGUGUAUAUAGUGUGUGCAGUGUGUGUGUAUAGUGAAUGCAAUGUGUGUAUAGUGUAUGUAUAGUGUGUGUAUAGUGAAUGCAGUGUAUGUAUAGUGUGUGUAUAGUGUAUGUAUAGUGUGUGUAUAGUGAAUGCAAUGUGUGUAUAGUGUAUGUAUAGUGUGUGUAUAGUGAAUGCAGUGUAUGUAUAGUGUGUGUAUAGUGUAUGUAUAGUGUGUGUAUAGUGAAUGCAAUGUGUGUAUAGUGUAUGUAUAGUGUGUGUAUAGUGAAUGCAGUUUAUGUAUAGUGUAUGCAGUAUGUGUAUAGUGUAUGCAGUGUGUGUAUAGUGUAUGUAUAGUGUGUGUAUCGUGAAUGCAGUGUGUGUAUAGUGAAUGUAGUGUGUGUAUAGUGUAUGUAUAGUGUGUGUAUAGUGAAUGCAGUGUAUGUAUAGUGUAUGUGUAGUGUGUGUAUAGUGAAUGCAGUGUGUGAAUAGUGUAUGGAGUGUGUGUAUAGUGUAUGUAUAGUGUGUGUAUAGUGUAUGAAGUGUAUGUAUAGUGUAUGCAGUGUAUGAAUAGUGCAUGCAGUGUGUGUAUAGUGUAUGCAGUGUAUGAAUAGCGUAUAUGUGUGUAGUGUAUGCAUAUGCAAUGCAUGUGUUGUGUGUAAUAAAUGCUGGGAAGGUGAGCAGUGUGUAUUGUUUUCCACCCACCCCCACACUCUUAUCUGUGUCCAGGGAGGGGACGUUUCCUUGUGGUCCGGUGGUCCAGCAUAGAUGGGCAGUGAAGAGGGGCCCAGUACGCUCCAUGCUUGUUUCCCAUCCAGCAGCAGCAGGUCCUCUGUUCUUGCGAUCCGCGAGAGCGUUGCUGUGGGUUGCUAGGGCAACCCGCGGAUUGCGAGAACAGAGGACCUGCUGCUGCUGCUGGAUGGGAAACAAGCAUGGAUACUCUCGAAAUGCCGCCCCUGUGAAAGUGCAUCCCCGGGCACCCCCCCUAGUGAGUGGCACCCGGGGUGGACCACCCCCGCCGCCACCCCUUUAGUACGCCACUGCACAAACUGCAUGUUACUGUGGCGCUCUAUAAUUCACACAUACAUACUGCAUAUUACUGUGGCACUCUGUAAUUAAUACACACACUGCAUAUUACUGUGGCACUCUAUAAUUCAUACACACACUGCAUAUUACUGUGAAGCUCUAUAAUGCAUACACACACUGCAUAUUACUGUGGCUCUAUAAUUCACACAUGCACACUGCAUAUUACUGUGGCACUCUAUAAUUAAUACACUCACUGCAUAUUACUGUGGCACUCUAUAAUUAAUACACACACUGCAUAUUACUGUGAAGCUCUAUAAUGCAUACACACACUGCAAAUUACUGUGGCUCUCUAUAAUUCACACAUGCACACUGCAUAUUACUGUGGCACUCUAUAAUUAAUACACACACUGCAUAUUACUGUGGCGCUCUAUAAUUCACACAUACACACUGCAUACACCCUUCCUUCUCAAAAUAGAAUCCCUCAUUGCCAAUGAAUUAAGGGGUAGUGCAGGAAAGUGCAGCAGGGGGAGAUUUAAAAGAACAUGCCAAACAGCUAAAGCACUCUUCUGGUAUGGGGACGGAACUUACAAUAUCUAUGGCCCAGAAAAAUGAAUAGGAAAGACUUGUAUUUUGUCGGAAGGAAGUAAUUAAUUUUGCAUGCUUUCUUUGGGGUAUAUUGAAUCCUGGUCUAGUAGCAGCAGCUAAUGCGAACCCUCCCCUUCUUCCCCUGGUAUAGACUUUCUCAUAUUUAAAAUUCUCAUCCAACAGAUUAGGGGUCAAACGGAUAGGCCGGAAGAAGGGGUUAAUGCCCUGGAGCCAGCGGGAGCCGCGGGAGGGAAGGGGUUAAGCCCCAGCCAGACCCAGAAUCCCCAUGAGACCCUUGGGAGAAGGAGGAAAACGGGGAAAGAGGGUCCCCAGAUGCCCCAGGUAUAGAAGGCCAGGAAAAUCGCCAGAAAAGUCAUGAUACAUAUGGUAUAAAGUACAUCUACCAUAACUAUACAUAAAACCUAUUAAGUCAAUAAUAAAAUUUACACCUAACACCUAUUAAAUCCAUGUCAUAAAAUACAUAUGACAUCUAUUGAAUACAUAUAAAGUACAUAUAAUACUUAUCAAAACAAAGGAUGAAAUGCCUAUAAAACUGAUAAAUUACAAGUGAUAUUAAUCACAACUAAAGGUUAUGAAAUAAGGAUUAUGUUAAAUCUACAUAAUAUCUAUGAAAUAACAUAGAAAAAACACAGCUGCACAUAGUACAGAAGCACAGCAAGAACAUACAGUAAAAUAUAUAAAAAAAUAUAAUACAGAAACAACCUCAAAGAGGCAUUGUAAACAUAAAGUAAUGGAGAAGAGUAAUACUCUGACCUGUCUGCUUGAUGGAGCAGUAAAGAAAGAGGAAAUGAAGUGGUCACAUUGCCUUAUGUACAUCCUGCUCUCCUGUGAUUGGUUCUUUUUUCUAUGUGUUUCUUUACUGCCAUAUGGAGUUACUAAAGAGAGAUAUGCAAAAUACAAAGCCUCCUGUCAUGUGGUAAUAUUCUAGAUCUAAAUGGGCUAAAAGAGAUUUGGCGUCUGUCUGAAAUCUGGGCAAGUGGGUUAGUUGUAAGUAUGAAAGCUAAUGUUGGUAUUUUAACUGCCGCUAGGGCACAACAAGAGGUGUACUGAGUCCAAGGAUUGCAGGCUGUGGCAAAUCCGUCAUGAGUGUUCAUAUGAUAAGUCGGUAAUUCCUCCAUGUACCCAAUGUCUUCUACUCUACAGCGCCACUCUGUCACUGUGUCACUGUCUGUACAUGUGGGGAUCUUCAUUGUAGCAGGAUUAAAAUUUUGUCAGUCAAUAGGAGAGAAGGUAGCCAAGAACUGCGCAGAUUUGCGAAUGACAUGGUGUAGAUGUGGUGAGAUAGGUUACCGUCUAAUGGUUUGCAUCAAUUGAAUAAUCUCAUCCCAGAAACGAUUGAUCAGUAGACAGAGAAUCUUUAUACCAAUACUUAAAAUUCUGAUCUAAUGGAUUAUUAUGGAAGUAUAGAAAAGAAAGAAAAGAAUGUGAGGAGAAAUUGUUAAAAAAAAAAAAAAGAGAGAGCGAGAGAGAGAGAAAUAUCCAGAACCAGAUACAAGUGUCCCUAUUUUAGACCCAAGCCCUUAAUCAAUCUUAAAGGGACACUAUGGGCUCAAUACAACUUUAAUCCAUUUAAGUAUUGGCCUCAUUAAUAUACUGUAUUUUUUUAUUAUUUGUGUAUUGUUAUAGUUUGUACACAUAUAAUAUACAUAUUUUCCUUUAUAAGGAAAAAAUAUUGGAACAUGAAAAUAAUUAAUGGAUCAUGUAGGGCAAGAAGCGACAAACAAAAAAAACAAACAAAUUGGUUAAAUUGGUAGGAUUAUGGUUGCAUCGCCACGUUUCAGUGCCGCCUAUCUUGGCGUGUAAUUGGGAGGAUGUGUGAGUAAACAGGUCACUGAUGGCUAGGUUCGGUGAUUGGGUGAGGCACCCUGCCAAUAAGAAGUGCCCUCAGGUUCCUCAGUUGAUGGUAGUGGGUUACCCCCUUUAGAGACUCUUUUGUUUGUUUUUUUCCCCUUGACUGGGACCUCCAGAGGUGGUGUGGCAGAGGAUGGCAGGAUGAGCAUUUUUACUUCAUGGGGGACUACUAUAUCCCAGUGAUACUUAACUGAAUAGUCCUUCAACCUACUGGCAAUCGGGCCAGCUUCCUUUUCUCAAUACCAAGAAAAGGUAGAUCGCUAAACGGUGACACUAAGCAGCCUUCAAACUUAAUGCUCCCAAUUAUUCUGGAACGAUUCAUGAUUCAUUUGCCUCUGUGUCUCUGGUUACUGCAAUCGUGUACCUAGGUGCCUCCGCAGGGGCGGUAGCAGACUUCCUAACAUGGAACACCGACUUUAUCAGUGGGAGGUCAGCACUCCUCUUGAUGCCCAUUGAGGUGAUAAGCCUCUGGGCAAUUGGCAGCAGCGCUUCUCCUCCUACAUCCUCUGGAAUUCCUCAGAAGUAGAUGUUCCGGUAUCGGUGUCGGGACUCCAGUGAGGACACUGUUCGAUUCAGUUGGUGGACUUGUUGUGUGAGCCCUUUUAUUUGGCUCUGUGCUUCCAGCAGUUGGCCAUCCUGCUUCCAGCAGCUGGCCAUCCACCUCCACUGCUUUACCUUUCUGGUGGAUGACUGCAAUCUCGGUAUGUGCUUUAAAGACUUCUCUCAGGUAUGUCUCCCUUAGUGGAUGGAGACGAGUUGUUGUCCAACUCGGAGGGCUGGUGAACUCCGCUGGUUCGAGAUGAGUGAGCGAUCCUUCAUCCUCUUGGGAUUCCACCAAGGUUUCCUGCUCGCUCUGGACCUUGAGCGCCAUUUUGAGUGGUAGUCGUGGCACGGGCCUCUCAAAAGAGAGCCUGAUAUCUUGCAAUCAUGGACCUUCCGGGUGUUUUCUGUAUUUGCACCCAUUGUGUUGUCUGGGGGGUGCGGUAAGUUUUCCAUCUGCAGAGUAAGUUUUUCUGCGGCUCAAGUCGCUUUAUUGCGGAGUCUCAGCAGAGCUCCACAGAGAGACAUCUGGUUAGGUGCUCGGCUGUACACGGCCCCGAAUAUUUUGCUUAUUGUUUGUUUGUAUUGUUUUUGCUUAAAAUAAAUAUAUGUUUUGCAGAAUGCUGCACCAAAACCCUGCCUCCUUCGACACACCUUCUCACUCCAGAAAAAUACUUCCUUGUCAAAUGUAUGCACACAGCUCAGCCACUGACAGCACUGAAUGAUCUGAACAACAAAACAACCUGCAUUAGACGGAGAGGUCACUACCUGCACUACCCAUUUGUAGUUUAUCUGACUGUCUGUGCUGUUGAGGCUGAGACUGUGUGCAUACUUUUGAUAAGGAAGUAUUUUUGGCAUAAGGGGUGUGAUAUUAAUGAGGCAGUUUUAUGGUGCAGCAUUCUGCAAAACAUUUAUUUGUUUGUACAAAAACUACAAAAAGACUUAAGCAUGCAAAAAUACAGCACCAAGAUCUAUCAAAUGCAUUAAAGUUGUUUUGGUGUCUAUAAUAUCCCUUUAACCCCUUAAGGACCAAACUUCUGGAAUAAAAGGGAAUCAUGACAUGUCACACAUGUCAUGUGUCCUUAAGGGGUUAAACUCCCUCUUUUCUAGAAGUUCCAUAUUGUUGGUGUGUCUGACUUUCUAACAGAGCUCUGCAGCAAUAAUACAUACAGUAAAGAGCGGCACAGCAAUAAUACACACAGUAAACUGUCUUUAAAAAUAUAUAUAUAUAUAUUUUAAUAACUUGUGCAAGUCUGUGUAAAUAAGAUAAAUGUUCUUGUUCUAAAUUACAUUUUAUUAAUAAGUUACCUAAAUUUCUUAAAACAGACCAACUCCUAAUAUUAAAGUGUCUCGCUUGUCUAUGUGAAAUGUUGGGAGGUAUGCAAUGGGGAUGCAUCUCUAGGGGCUGUUAGUUUGAUAGUUUGAUAGCCAGUAGAGGUGUGUUUAUGUUCAAAUGUAAAUUAUUUCAUUAAAAACACAAUGUUGUACAUUGUCAGUCCUUAGAGAUAAUGUUUAUGUACUGAAACACCUUCAUUCAGUGGUGAAGAUGUUCAUUAAGGUCUUCUUCAUAAUUUAGUGUUCAAUAAAUACUGAUCAUUCUUUAAAAAAAUACAAAUACACAAAAAUAGGUCCUUCUCUCAAACUCCUACUACUCCUGGGCAGCAGCAACGACUAUUGCACACAUCAGCCCCAAUACAUACAAUAAAAACCAAAGAAUAAAAGAGUUACCUGCGCGCUAGCCCAACUCUCUAUGCAAAUUGAAAUAAAUGGAGGUUAUUUCGUAACUCCAAUGGCCAUUAGAUGUAAGCCCACCUUCCACUUCAAGGCAAAAAUCAUUGAUAGGGUCCUACACUAACAAUUCACCUUGCUCCCUUUAACUUUAGGCAAAGAAAUCUCUAACGAGAAAGAGAGGGGUAUUUUUCCAGACCCCUACACACGUAUUAACCCUUAAUAGGGAACACAUGGGAUGAGUGGCAGCAUAGUAACAUGGCUUUUUCUUUAAAAAAAAAAUGCCUGGGUGCUAAUCCUAAUAAAAUACUCUACACACACUUAUGGUAUUUAAAGGGAUACUCUGAGCCCCCAAGCCACUAUAUCUUAAUGUUUACUUGUACAAUGUAAAACAACAAUAUUUACAUUUAUCUAAAAACAGUCCUAGAAGUCAGAUUGACAGCAACUAGAAUGCCUCAUGCUUCUCCUUUAGUGUCUCACUGUUUUGUAAUUUGUAUGUAUCAGACUGGCAGGAUGCCACAAAUGCUGCCCCUGUGCCCUAGGUUCAUGAGAAGCACUGGAUUGGACCAAAUAUCAUCAUUCGUGAUAGAUUUAUCCACUGUCCUAAAAUAAUAAUGUAUCUUCAACUCUUGCUUACCGGACAUUAAUAUUUGUCUGAUUUUGAGUGUAGCUGAUUUACAUAUUUUUAUAUAAAGGAGAUAUGAAAGCAUACUGCCGCUUUUACAAAUAUUUCAGUUAUCACGAGAGUCAUCAUUUUCAAUUAAAACUAAUGUGAUAUACCUAUGUGGUGGUGUUUGAUGCUGUCAGCUGGCUGGGUUUUUAAUUUUUCAUUUUUUAAGAGUACAUUCAAGUAUUUCAGAUGUGAAGGCCUUGUAUGUAAAUUAUGUUUCUGAAAGUGCAAGUCCGUCUGAAGAUCAAGCAAAACAUCCUUUAAAUUGUUUGAUAGCUGAGCCUUGAAAUCCUUCAAUAUGUUGGGUGUUAUUAUAUAGAAAUGGAAAUAUUUUAGCUGUGACACAAGGAAAGAAAAACGAGAGAGGGGGAGGAAAGUGUGAGAAAAAUAACAGUAAUGGAGAGAAGGCGAACAGGGAGAGGGAGACAGAAUGAAAAUAAACAGGGAGAGAAGAACAUUAAAUAAAAUAGCAAAACAUUAUUGCAGCUACUGCAUCUACACUAGUUCAAUGUGUUUCUGUAAUGAAUAUAUGCAAAUGUUAACUGUGAUAAUAGUGGUUUAUUUAUAUAUUGUGUUUUUCUUUUACAUGAACACCUAUCCAUCAUUCAGUCAUUAAUCCGAAAGGACAUCCCAGUGUGAAGAGUGUGUCCUUUUAUUGUUGUUUUUUUGUUUGUUUUUUACAGAUUAUGUCCAUUUGAAAUGUUGGGAGGUAUGCCACAGGGAUUGGGCAGACUGUAACUAAAACAAAAAGAAAAUACAAAAGGGACAGUUUAAGUAUUACUAGUCCAAAGAGGUGGAUGGGGUAAAUGGAAAAAAAAAAAAGCAGAAACAUCAUAAAAAUAGCCAUGGACAGAACUGCAGGCAUACAGGAAUAUACUUCUGUGAUUUUAACACAAAUUGAAUCCAAAUGGCAAACAAGGCAAAAAUUAGACGAGUUGUCAUUAUGGCUGAGUCAGAAAAUGUUUCCAGAGUAGCUAUUUUUCCUUUUCUUUUUCUAUUGUGGUUUAAUUCACAAAAAUAGUGAAUAACCGUAACAGAAAAACACAGGAACAAGCCAUGGUCAAGGAAUGCAGAUAUCAGAAUUGUCAAAAUUAAACAGCUGACAAUUAAGAAAACUCAAUAGUGGACUCCAGAAACCGUAAAAGAAUCCAGAAUGAUGGUAACUCGAAUAAACAUGGCAGUAAGAAUCAUUACAGCUGCACCAAAAUCUUGGAGAUGCAUGUGCUGAAAUAAUCCUUAAGGUCUGGAGCUGCCUGGAUGAUGUGAGUCCAAUCUGCUAAAGUAGAGGUACUAUGGGAAUUGACACAUCUAAAUACACGUUUAUCCUCUAUUUUAGUAUUUAUUGACUGUAAAUAUUCUCACUAAUAUAUACUCAUUUACUUUCUCCCGAAACUUUCCAUUUUAAAAAAAGCAUUUACAACUUUUUAAUUUUUCAGAGUAGCUCCAGCUUUUUUUCCUGUACAUGUGUGUUUGUUUGUACAGUCUCUCUUAUAUAUCUCUUUUAGAAAGCUACGAGAGAAUCCGGAAACGUUGCGUAACAGUUAUACUGCAUGUGUAUACAGGUGCACACAGUGCACAAUGUCUUGUAAAUUCCUCUAAUUUCACCGGGGUACAUUGUGCAUAAAGAUGAUCAAUAAACUGUUGCGACAAUAAAGAGAAUAAUGAAGGUGUAAUGAAGGGCGACAGAAACAAGAAGCUCCUAGUUCCAUGACGUGUUUACAUUAAUGGUACUUUCAGUGUGUAUUUUAACACAAGAAUCUACAGCACAUGUAUACUCUGCAAUUUUUGUGCAGUCUGCCAUUGACAUGACCCAUGCUUUUGUUUAUGCACUGCACACCGUGUAUCAUUAAGAGGGGUCUGUUUGGGCAUUAGCUGUCCAUGCAAGGUAAUUCUACAUCAAGCUUGUGUUUCUGUCAUGUAUGUACAGCCAGGCUAUUGACCUGUGCCAGUACAUGCACUCAAAAUAUCCACUUGUAUAUUUAAUUUUGUCUAUUCAAUGUGAAGCUUAAGAGUUCUUAGUUUAAACUAGUAUUUCACCUUGGGAAAUAGUCUAGUAUGAGCUUAUGUAGGAUUAUACCACCUGAAGUGUAAUCAGAUUUGUGAUUGCAAAUAUAUUGCACAUAAAAAAGAAGUCCCAUGGUGCAUCCUUUAUAGUAAAUGGUGCGUAUGUUCAUUUAGAAGAUAAAUAAAAACCAAAGAAACAAGUGCUCUUGAACUAAUUACAUUUAAAUUAGCACUAAUAUAAACAUUCUUCACAGGUAUUACAAUGUGUUUCUGACUGUUUUGCUGAAAGCAAGAGUGAAUCAAUACCUAGGUACUUAGAAGAAAAUUUUUUUCCAAGAUGUAUAUACUGAUAACACUGUAUAUAAUGGUUGCAUAAAGAGAGAGAGAGUUUAUGUCCACCUGCAGUUUUUUAUUUAACUUUUUUUAUGUUUUUAACCAGUGACAUACUAAGAUGGGGGCAGGGUCAUGUGAUGUUGCUUUCAAAUGUUGUCAACUCAAGGGAGGUGAUGGUGUUGUUUGUUCUGCUCAUGCGCAAAACUGUUUGCAAUUUUUUAUGGUAUCUAUUUAAAGUGUUUCAGUGAAUCAUCAAGUCCUUAUGGUUGUUAAAUUUGAUACGGGAGAAAUUGUUCCAUUAAUAUUUUGUUAAAUGUUCUUGGUUAUCUUUGUGAUCCGUUGGCAUUGAUUAAGCUGUUAACAUGUCAUUACAUUGUAGUUACAAUAUGAUAGAUUUAGAUUGAGGACAUUGUUACCAGAUCUUGAGCUGUUAUCUAAAGUGAUUGUGAAAUAGCAAGACUUUUUUUAGAGAAAAGAGAAGCCUGUGUGUUGAGGCUUCGAACACAUGUGAUUGCGUCUUUCUAAUGCUUGCCUAUUACAUCUGAGUGACAUUAAGAACACUGUGCGAAUAUCUUUUUUAGCCAGAUUACCAUUAAGGCUGCUGCCUAGGGCCCAGAGCACAGGGAGUUUGACAAAAUCAGGGGGGGGGGGAUACUAUGGGGGGAGCAAUGAAACAGUGGGUAGGUCUGGAUGAUUGACAUGCAGACUGGUGUGUAUUCAUGCCAGGCUGACCUGGCAGUUCUUCAGGCUGCCCACCAGUGAUGCUCUAUUUUACACUAGUCACCAGCGUCAUGAUUCAAGGUACGCCGAUGCUGGGGUGUAUGUUUCUGUAAUGAUGAAGAGCAUAGAAGUAUAAUACAUAGUGUAAUCUAGAAUAUUAAAGCUGGAUUAAUGCGGUUUAGGAGGUGUUUGGUAUCGCGGGGACUUAUAGUUAAGUAAGGGGGGCUUUUGUUUCCCAGCUCACCUGUUACAUAAACAGAUUUAUUUUUUAUUUUUUUUAUUUUUUUUGUUUGUUUCUUUUAAAAAAAAAUUAAACAAAUAUUAAACAAUUGAGUUCAACAUCAUCUUUCAGGUCACAACAAACCAAAAUAGUGUAUUAAAAUGUUACAGUAAAUCUCCAUAUAUUUUGUUUCUCAAUUAAAUAGUUUUUAAACAUUAAUAUAUGGAAUUAUUAUACUCUUGAGUUGAGCUCUUUAUCAAAGUUUAAAUCAUCAAAAAGUAUAUAGUACAAAAAACAUACAGUAAAUAAAACAUACAACAUAAAAACAGAUUUAUUUUUUUACUGCAGAUACUUUCGCAAAAAGACAAGUCUGUAUUUAAAUAUCCUAGCAGAGAGAGCUAAGGGAGGACCACUACCCACUUUCCAAAGUAUCGUGCGAAUUAGUUAGGACUAGUGUUUAUUCGCUAAGAAGUGAAUUGCAGUGGCUUUAUAACACAUUUCAAAAUGUACACUUUUAGAACCUAAAUCAGUUAUUUUGGCUUAAUUCUGGAAUUCUGUUCAGUUUCUAUAGUUCACUGUUUAGUGAAUAAACAAUUUUUUUUUUUUUCAUUUCUGAUAUUUCACAUGUAAAAUAGUUCAUUUUCAUGGUAAAUCUUCAGAAACAGUCUUAAAAAUAAAAAAAACUCCCAGUUUAAAAGCAGGGGAAAAACACAUUAUAUUGUAAUUGUAAUAUAUCCUCUAUGGCGGAUAGGUAAUCCUUUUAAUAGACAGACAGACAGGCAGACAGGCAGACAGACAGACGGAUAGAUGAGAUUUUGAAUUAAAAUACUUUUGCUUUUGGUUGGAUGGUUAUGUCCACUACACAUAAAUAAGCAUAUGAAUCAUUCGGCAUAUGCAAUAAUGAUCAAUAAGCAGUUGUAUAAUUUAUAUGAUACUUAACAGAACUGUUUGGUAAACAACUGUCUACAUAGCUGGGUUAACCAUAAAGUGAGCUAAGGUGUCUGCCUAGGGUCCAAUGAUGACAGGGGCCAGAACCACGAAUAUACUAGGUUGAGUAUUUACUGAUUUAUUGUGUUUAUACUAAGAAUAAAAUGGGGCCCCAAAACUGAUAACCAGUCUAGAGCAAUUAUGUGCUUCCAUUCAAUAAACACUGAACCUACUGAAACAAAGGCAAACAAUUAUCUUGCAACUACAAUUUCUAAUACGUUUUGCUUAAAAAUGUUACUAAAAUGUUUGUUUUUUUCUGGGUUUUUUUCUUUCACCUAUGCUUAGCUAAAUAGAAACCGGAAUACAAAAAUAUAACAAGUGAACCUAAAUGUAGAUAAAAUGCAAUUUAUUUGUAGGCAGCCACAAUGGUUCACACUGAAGGAUGUAGGAUUUCUAGGUUGCUAUAUAUAUAUAUAUAUAUAUAAAAUAAUAAUAAAUAAAUAUAGAUAGAUAGACCAAUUUAUUUGAGUUGGGCAGUGUCUUAAAAACACUACAUUCUUGGAAAUGCCUAACAAAUGAGUUUGACAAUCUAUAGACUGUAAUAUAAUGCAAAGAAAUAUUUAAAUAUGUAAUGCCAUUUCAACUUGCGUAUCUGUAAGUUCCACAGAAAGUGUGUCAAGAGCAAGAACAUUUGAGAAUAUAGAGCAGAAGGAAAGGAAAACUGUGUUUUUUUUCUUCUUAAUUUUCUACAUGUUGGGUUAUACAAGAAGCAUGUGUACUCUGCCAGUUGACUUAAGCCAUUAUUUGUAAUACUUUUGGAUUGUUCUUUUACAUAUCUCAAAAACAAGGGGGAGAAAUAUGGUCUGUGAAGAUGUAUAAUUAUCUUUACAUUUUAUCCAUAGUCCCCUUAGAUUUUUAUGCUAAUCACACAUUUGUUAGAGUUAAAAGUGAUUUAUAUUUUUGGUAUAGACGUUUUAAAGAUGGUUUCUGUACUUAAAAGAAAACUAUAGUCAUCCUAAUGUAGUGGUUCUGGUGUCUAUAGCAUAUUACUCCAGUGCUAACACUGUGGACACUGUGCUGGCUAGUGACACCUCUAGCAGUAGUCACUCAGAUGGCCACUAGAGGUGCUUUAUAGUCCAGUACAGUGAUCAGCAACUGUGUUCAGCAUCUCCAUGUACUACAUGGAGACGCUGAACACUCCCCAUAGGGAUGCACUGGUUCAAUGCAUAUCUAUGAGAAGAUGCUGAUUGGCGCAGCACAGCAAUUUGCCACACAUACACAAUAGCCUCCUAAUGCUUUCCUAUGGGAAAGCAUUGGAUUGACUAAAAUCAUUAGGACUGAUGAUGAAAGCCAUUGAUGCAGGGGAAGCCAUGGCAAGACAGGCUGCGUGAGGGAGAAAAGGUAAGUUUCAUCACCUUAUUUCUCCACAGAGCGGGGGCUGAGGACCCUAAAAAAUAGUCCAACACUAUAGUAUUAGGAAUUCAUGCUUGUAUUCUUAACACUACAGUGUUCCUUUAACAGACCAAACUGCUAAAUGUGGCAUCUAUUUGCUUAUCUUCAGUUAGAAACCUAUCUAACUUGUUUCUUUUAAUGUUUUUUGUUUUACCUGUUAUACUUUAGGAAAGCUGUUUAGAACAGGUGUUUCCAGUAUUUCAUAUUUUGUUUAAUUGAACCUGUUUGUGUUCCUUCUAGAUUUGCUGCCUUUUUAAAUAUAUUUGUCCUGCUUUUCGUGAUCUGAUCAAUUUCCUACUAUGACCUCAAUGCAUUUUGUUGGAGAAGCUUUCAAAAUAAUUUAAUGUUUUUGGAUGAACUUUUAAAAUGGUUUAAUGUUAUGAAAAAUAUUUAAAUUUUAUAUUUUUUUGCCAUUUUUAUAUAGUGAUAUAUAAUAUGUAGAAACAAAUGUUUUAGAAUUAUAUUUCAUAAAGUUUAUCCAAUAAUAUUAAAUCAUUUGGAAAACUUAUCCAACAAUAUUAAAUCGAGGCCUAUGCUUGCCGCCAUUCCUGUACUACAUGUAACUAAGCACAGCAGUGCGGCUGUUUACAGUGAUUAAAGGUGACAACGUUGCUCUCUGAAUGCACAAGUGAGCAAGUGAGACAAAUCUUGUGUCAUAUAUAACAGCUGAUUCUGACCCACGAUCGCUGAAAAUAGCUGUGCACACAAUAAAAAGAGAGUGCCUGAUUAUUCUGUAAAAGUGUAUGAGAGCAUGUGAAAUGGUGUGAGACUGUCUUUUUUAUUCUGUAAUACUGGAUUUGCCAUUUUCUGAAUGUAUCUGUGAGUGUGUCUGUAUAUCUGAGUGUUUAUGAAACAGUGUUCGUAUGAGUCUAUGUUUCUAAAUGUGUCAAUAAGAGGGAUUGUGAGACUGGUUGAAUGUGUAUGUUACUUUCCAAAUGUGCCUACUAGAGUGUUCCUAAGAGUGUUUGUGUGUGUAUGUGAGUUUCUAAAUGUAUAUAUAAGAGAGUUUGUAAGAAAGUCUGGGAGUGAGCGUAUGAAAUUAUAAAAGAUUCUAGCUGUGUCCUUGUGCCUGUGAAAAUGUUUACCUACCCAUAAGUACUGAUAAUUAUAAUUUAAAUCCAUUAACUAUUACAAUGGAAAUGGACAUAUACUGCAUUGCUUGUUGUGCUUAGAGUGUAGCCCAUGUUGUUUCUCACAGGGUACCUGGAGAUCUAAUGCCUAGCUCAGGUUAAACUAUUUAAUGUAAGCUCUACACCUCAGGCACCAUAACUGCAUAAAGGUUUCAAAAAGUAAAAGUCUCGCUGACCUAGAUUACAUUUCUAUUGAGCCGAUAGUUUGUCCUCACACUGUAAAACUGAUCUCUUAUCCUUUGAAAAUGUAUAAAGCCAGAGCCGGACAGCUGGAACUAAAAAAUACAUAUGCAAGUUUAGAGAAUUGGUUAACCGAACAAUAAACAGUCCUGAGCAAACAAGAUCAAAAGUCAUGGGAAGGUUAAAUCUCAAAAGCUAGUUACCUAAUGUAUCUGAUUGCUGUCAAAGUAUUCCUGGAAACACACAUUCUCCUUAAUGAAAUGUAUUAUGUACCCAAAAUGCAAUCAUUUAGAAAAUGUAGUUUGCUAACUCAAGACAAAUAAUUUUAGUUAACAGAAAGCAAGUAAAUUUAGAAUUCGGUACAUUUCUUGCCUUACUUUAUAUUAGAAUAAUAAAAUGUACAAUGAAAUAAAUUUUGUUGAAAAUAAUAACAAGUAAUCAUAAUCCAUAAUAAAUGUAUAGGUUGAAUGGAAAUUGUUAGGCACCCAUGUAACCAAAUCACAUAGCAUUAUUGUUGAUUUUCUCAGUAAAAAGAAGUUAGAAUAUAACCAAUGUUGCGAGCAAAUAUAAACGACACAUAUUUCAGAAAAUGUGCAUGCGCAAUUACUAUACAGAAUUUAACUGACAGACAAAGAAUAAAUAAAAACAGAAUUAUGACAUCUGCAAAAUGGUGUGCUCUGUCUAGAUAACCAAAUAAUUAUUUCUAAAGUCUCAGAAUCUUUUUAUCUUAUUGUCCACACCAACUUGUUAGGCCUUAAUCAUAGUCUUAAUCAAAUAGUCAUAAUGACAGUUUUUAAAAAAUUUUAAUUCAUUAUUUAUAUACCAGUGCACCAAGCAUAGUCCAAAUACACUUUGUUCAUAAGCACCAGCCAGUACUGGAUUGUGACAAUUUUAUGUAACACUGCUGUUAAAAGCUACACUUUACACACCAUAUCCCAGAUCUUCCUAUCAAGCAUGCAGGAUAACCAUACAUCAAGUGGUAAAGUCAUCCCAUAGGGUCCAUAUUUUCCCAUACCUAGGUAGUGAAUAAUGUACAAUAGUGAUGAGCCUGUCCAUUAGGUAAUUUUUGCAAUGACCUGCAGGGAAGGGAGCUCUGUCUAAUGGCCGUACAUGCCGCCAAUGUGAUUUUAUUCUGUUGUUUCUGCUGGUGAGUGGGGAACCCAUCCAGCAGUUUAGAUAUCAAAAAGGACCAUAAGUCCAGCUGAAAGUAUCUGUGAAAAACUUGAUGUAGGAGGUUCUGGAUAGAGCGCCAAAAAGAUGCCACCUUAGGACAAGACCACCACAUUAUUAUUAUUAUCGCCAUUUAUAUAGCACCAACAGAUUCCAUAGCGCUUUACAAUAUUAUGAGAAGGGGGAUUUAACUAGAAAUAGGACAAUUACAAGAAAACUUGUACAAGAAGGGGGAAGUUAUCAUCAUGGGUGACUUUAAUCUUCCUGAUGUAAAUUGGAAAACAAAAUUAGCUACUUGUGCCAGGAGCACACAUAUUCUAAACUCCCUACUGGAGUUCUCUCUAGAGCAAGUUGUUGAGGAGCCAACUCGUAAAGAGGCCAUACUAGAUUUAGUGUUAACAAAUGGAGAUUUGGUAUCAGAUGUUACUGUAGGUGAAAGUUUAGGAUCCAGUGAUCAUCAGUCAGUGUGGUUUAAUAUAAGAACAGUGACUGAGUCACACCACACAAAAACAAAAGUUUUAGACUUUAGAAAAACAGACUUUUCUAAAAUUAGAAUAUGGGUAGAGGAGUCAUUAUCAGACUGGAGCAAUUUAAAUGGAGUCCAAGAGAAAUGGGAUUAUUUAAAAGUUGCACUAUUGAAGGCAACAGAAAAUUGCAUUAGGCUUGUCAGUAAAAGCAAAAAAUUCAAGAAACCACUGUGGUACUCCGCAGAUGUGGCCAAAAUAGUUAAAAACAAAAAGUUAGCAUUUAGGAAUUAUAAAAAAACCCAGAGUGAGGGAGACAAAAUGAUCUAUAAGAUUAGGCAGAAAGAGGCUAAGCAAGUUAUAAGAGCUUCCAAAUCACACACAGAAGAGAAAAUAGCACAGUCAGUAAAAAAGGGGGAUAAAACAUUUUUUAGAUACAUAAAUGAGAAAAGAAAAGUAAAACAAGGAUUAGUUAGAUUAAAAACAAAAGAAGGAAGGUAUGUAGAAGAGGAUAAAGGUCAGGCUGACUGCCUCAAUUAAUAUUUUUGUUCUGUAUUUACAGUAGAAAAUGAAGGAAAGGGACCUCAGUUGAGAAAAAGAAUAAAUGAGUCAUUUAUUACACGUGAGUUUACAGAGGAAGAGGUUCUAUUUCAACUGUCAAAAGUAAAGACAAAUAAGUCAAUGGGACCUGAUGGAAUACACCCAAAGCUAUUAAAAGAGCUUAGUGGUGUACUAGCAAAACCAUUAACAGAUUUAUUUAACCAAUCAUUGUUAACAGGAGUAGUCCCAGAAGAUUGGAAGUUAGCGAAUGUUGUGCCCAUUUACAAGAAAGGUAAUAGGGAGGAGUCGGGCAACUAUAGGCCAGUAAGCCUUACUUCAGUAGUGGGGAAAGUGAUGGAAACCAUGUUAAAGGAUAGGAUUGAUGAACAUCUAAAAACACAUGGAUUUCAAGAUCAGAGACAACAUGGGUUUACUUCAGGGAGAUCAUGCCAAACAAAUCUUAUUGAUUUUUUUGAUUGGGUAACUAAAAUUAUAGAUCAGGGUGGUGCAGUAGACAUUGCUUACCUAGAUUUCAGUAAGGCUUUUGACACUGUUGCACAUAGAAGGCUUAUCAAUAAACUGCAAUCUUUAAGUUUGGAUUCCAAUAUUGUUGAAUGGGUAAGGCAGUGGCUGAGUGACAGGCAACAGAGGGUUGUAGUUAAUGGAAUAUAUUCGAAGCUUGGACUUGUCACCAGUGGGGUACCUCAGGGAUCUGUACUUGGACCCAUUCUCUUUAAUAUUUUUAUUAGUGAUAUUGCAGAAGGUCUUGAUGGUAAGGUAUGUCUUUUUGCUGAUGAUACUAAGAUAUGUAACAGGGUUGAUGUUCCAGGAGGGAUAAGCCAAAUGACAAAUGAUUUAGGUAAACUAGAAAAAUGGUCAGAAUUGUGGCAACUGACAUUUAAUGUGGAUAAGUGCAAGAUAAUGCAUCUUGGACGUAAAAACCCAAGGGCAGAGUACAGAAUAUUUGAUAGAGUCCUAACCUCAACAUAUGAGGAAAGGGAUUUAGGGGUGAUUAUUUCUGAUGACUUAAAGGUAGGCAGACAAUGUAAUAGAGCAGCAGAAAUGCUAGCAGAAUGCUUGGUUGUAUAGGGAGAGGUAUUAGCAGUAGAAAGAGGGAAGUGCUCAUGCCAUUAUACAGAACACUGGUGAGACCUCACUUGGAGUAUUGUACACAGUACUGGAGACCGUAUCUUCAGAAGGAUAUUGAUACCUUAGAGAGGGUUCAGAGAAGGGCUACUAAACUGGUUCAUGGAUUGCGGGAUAAAACUUACCAGGAAAGGUUAAAGGAUCUUAACAUGUAUAGCUUGGAGGAAAGACGAGACAGGGGGGAUAUGAUAGAAACAUUUAAAUAUAUAAAGGGAAUCAACACAGUAAAGGAGGAGACUAUAUUUAAAAGAAGAAAAACUACCACAACAAGAGGACAUAGUCUUAAAUUAGAGGGACAAAGGUUUAAAAAUAAUAUCAGGAAGUAUUACUUUACUGAGAGGGUAGUGGAUGCAUGGAAUAGCCUUCCAGCUGAAGUGGUAGAGGUUAACACAGUAAAGGAGUUUAAGCAUGCGUGGGAUAGGCAUAAGGCUAUCCUAACUAUAAGAUAAGGCUAGGGACUAAUGAAAGUAUUUAGAAAAUUGGGCAGACUAGAUGGGCCGAAUGGUUCUUAUCUGCCGUCACAUUCUAUGUUUCUAUGUUUCUAUAAGAAACCAGUUGUGCCAGUCAAGCUGCCCUAUGGUGCAUAAGUAGGAUUGGUAAACCAAGACAAUGCUGGUUUAAGGCAAAACAAUAGCAUCAAUAGCACUCUGGAGAGUAUCUAGGUCCAGUUUGGGGACCAGGCAGGGAAGAGCCUGAAAGAGGAACACAAGGCGAGGAAGUACAUUAAUUUUUACUGAGUGAACACGGCCCAUCCAAGAAAUUGUUUUGUGACCCAUUUGUCUAGAUCAUUCCAUAUAGUGUGAAGGAGAGGGCCAUAACUGCAUAGUCUCAUCCCUACAGACUGCAAGGUAAAUUAUGGAGACUGUUUGGGUCUGAAAACCAAAACGCUCCUGAAUCUGUGCCGUUUCCCCAGCCAACAGGCUUAGCGGCGUAGUGCUAGAUUUCCUUGUAUUAACUUAAUAUCCCAAGACUGCUCCAAAAAGGCUGAGGAGGUUACAGAGGAGAAAGUGAUUAUGCUUUUGGGGUUUCCACUUAUCUCCAGACCUCCCUCAGGGAAGUAACGAUUAAUGACAAAAACAUAAAGAAAUAAUCACUUUCUUUUUAAUACAUAUUACAUUAUAAAUUAUUAUACUGCAAUGUUCAAAAAGUGGUCCAACGUACUAAAAGUGGGGUAAUCACCACUGAAGCCAGUGGAACAACCAAAAACACAUUUCAUUGGGGAGGCACUUUUAUAUUUUUUCACCAUUUUCAAAACUGAACAUUUUGAUAAAUCUCCCGUAAUGUUUCAGACCAUGUUCACAGAAAAUAAAUCACCAAAUCUUCUAUAUUAGCUGCUAAACCCUAGAAGCUCAAACCUGCGUUUGUGGUUACUCUAUUAAGGACAAUCAGUUCUUCAUAUCUUGACCCAUCUCAUUCUACCUGUUAUAAAUAUAUAAAUAGAUAUGUUCAUCAUACAUAAGUCAUGUGUCAUGGAGAGGUAGAGUGAGAUGGAGUCAUGUAGAUGAAAUUAGUAUCUCGUAAUAUCUUUUUUGACUGCACUAACAGAAUAUAUAUAUAUAUAAUGCUUACAUGUUAUUGUUAAUUAUAGAUAUAAUUUAAUUAACAUUCAAUAUAGAGAUUGAUUGUUAACAUUCGUAAUAUAUAAAGGUCUCAGGAAGAGGGGAAGACUCUUGAAAACUUGUCUUUAAAGUAAUAUGCUAGUCCAAUAAAAAAGGUAUUAUUGCAUAAUGCAAUACUCUGGUAUUUUGGCAUAUUAUCUACUGGACUAAUUCGAUGAUAUAAUCCAAAGUAGAUGAUAGAUAGAUAGAUAGAUAGAUAGAUAGAUAGAUAGAUAGAUAGAUUGUUUGUACUAAGUCUAUAAUAGGAAAUUUCCCAACUUUGUCGCACAUUUUUUAACAUCCUGUAGAGGGCAUAUUGUCCCAGUUAAUGGAGCCGCACCAAAGCUAUGAAUGUAACAAAACGUUUGAGAAGACAUAACUUGCCUGUAAUCCAGUGCCACGACUGUCUCCUCUCUGCAGCUUCUCGUCCAGUUCUGAUGGCUUUUGUCCACAUCAUUGCUCCACUAAUCUAAUGUUUAUCAUAGAGAAUCAAGUAAUUCAAUGCUUUUCAUAGAGAAGCAAUAGAUGAAUACUGCAUCGUAAUUCUGUGCCUGAUAAUGCCAAAUGUAAAGACCUUCAAAAAUCAAAUGUAUUCAGUGAAGAAGUGCCUUUAGUGACUGUCAGUCUGACAGCCACUGGUGACAUGGUUUAGGCAAAAUUGAAACAUUAGUAAAAAGAUAAAUCACUGGUAACUAUGACAAUAAAAAAAUGUGUGCAUACAAAUACAGGUGUGCAGCUACAUACAAAUACAGGUGACUUGAAGAAGAAAAAAACUCAAAAUAUAAAGUAGUAUGUGCAAACUAUGUACAAAGCAGAAGAAACCGUUUCUAUAGAGAAAACAGAUAUUUCUUUAAUAAAAAAAUAAAAUAAAAAAAAAUCACAAAAUAUUGCUGAAAUCCUUACUCCUCUCUCAAAUGACACUCAAUCUCUAUUCAAGAGACAAUUCUCAUGUACAAGUGAAUCCUAAUAGUUGUAAAUAGGCAGAUGUAAAGUACCACAAUCACAGCAUACUGUGGCAGCCGAUAGUGCUUUGAUAAUUAAAAUAAGAACUACCACCAGAACACCUCAGGCCAGGAAAACUGCAACAGUUUCAAAAAAUGAACCCGCGUGUUGCAACCUAGCAUUAGGGGUUAUGGUGUGUCAACAUGUAUCAAAUGUAAAACACGUAAAAGUUGAUCUCCUUCAUAUCAGUAAGGAAAAACAAUGGUAGAAAAUCCAAUACUUUAAACACAAUGGCUGAUUUCAGCAGUGCUGUGUUACUUAUAGGCUCACAAGGAAUACAAUAUAUACGAGAGUGCGUGCUAGUGAACAGAGAUAAGCGCCUUAGAUCAAUACAUCCAUAACUGUGACACUUUAUAAGAUAAAAAGUACCUGACCUCAUGGUGGGCCCCCACCUGAGGUAAAAAACGCCACGUGAAAAAUAGAAACUGAGAAAGAACUAGUUUCUUCAGUGAAGGCUGAUAGUUGUCGAUGAGCACUCAGUCGUGGUAUAUUGCUGGUAAACUGACAGGUAAUCACAGGCUGGAUAUCAGCUGCAUUAUUGCCGCGGUUGGAAUUUUUAAAAAAGACCGAUGUAAAUGGUGGCUUGGUCUCUGGAGUUCUAUUGGAGAACAGGAAACAGCUGAAAAGUCUGUUACAUCUAUGCAUUUUAUUCCUCUCACAGAACUUUCUCAAGACCUGAAACAUUAACAUGAAAAUUGAAACAUUAACAUGAAGUGCUUGUUUGUAUAUGAACAAGAUAGAGAGAGUGUGUCAGGUUGCUUUAAGAAGAUGGGGGGUAACCCCUAGCAAAUAACAAUUGAAGAAAGAGGGAAAAUACAGGAAAGCCCAGAGGGUACAUAGAGUCUAAGUGGUACACCUACGGGUUUCUAGUAUAUCUAAAGCAAACCCUAACCCAAUAAAAUAUAGCUUUUAAUAAUAAAUUAUUAAAAAUAAAAAAAUAUAUAAAGAGAAACAAGCACAAUAGCUAUGUAUAAAUUAUAAUGUCUAAAGUCGCAGUGAAGGGUGGUGGCGUGAGACAGGGACGAUGCUGCAGCUGUGAAGAUUAUUUAGCUCAUAUCUAGCCACCCUUUACUUUUAUCUUUACUACAUAGUUUAUUAGAUGUUCAGUUAGCAGCAGGGAGUGAACGCUGGGCUACUGAGUAUAGCUUAUACCUUAACCCUAUUAUCCCUGAAUCACCUGUGCCACUACUGGACAAAUGUGACACCUCUCAAUUUAUAUCUAUAUCAUGCCUUCCUCUUCCUCCUACUAGUUAGUAUUAACUUUAGACAUUAUAUUUUAUAUAUAGCUAUUGUGCUUGUUUCUCUUUAUAUAUUUUUUUAUUUUUAAUCAUUUAUUAUUAAAAGUUAUAUUUUAUUGAGUUAGGGGUUGCUUUAGAUAUACUAGAAACCCGUAGGUGUACCACUUAGACUCUAUGUACCCUCUGGGCUUUCCUGUAUUUUCCUUCUUUCUUCAAUUAUUAACAUGAAGUGGUUUUGGUGCUUAGAGUGUACAUUUGAUAUUUAUAAUAGUUACAUUUGUGAUUUAUUUUUGCAUGAUAUAAUAAUAAUGAUAUAAUAAUAUAGUGAGACUACUAGUGAAGUAAUAGUUUGAAUUAGCAAAUGUAGUUGAAUUAGUAAUUAGCAACUUAACCCAUUAUGAAUUUGAGCAAGUCAUUACAGGAUAUUGCUUAUUACAAGGGUUUGAUUAAACAUGUAGAAUAACAAAAUUAUUUAAUUCUUUAGCUUAUUCUUUUGAUCUUUCAAGCCAACCUAUUUAUUUAUUAAUGCCAUUUAUAAAGUGCCAACAUAUUCCGCAGCUCUGUAUAAGUAGGAAAAGAUAAACACAAUAAGAAUAGACCGAAACAACAGGUAGAGUACCCUGCCCGUAAGCUUACAAUCUAAAGGUAUGGUUACAUACCUGAACCCUGAACCCAGCCCUCUUCUCCUCCCCCGCCCACCCACACACCACACACACAAAACCUUAGGCUUUUGGUCCUUGACCAGAUUUUGGUCCUUAAUCAUAUUCCCGGAUUGGUUAGACUACCCUACCGAUUUCUCUAGGCUAAGAAGUGUCACAGUAAAAUUCCAGAAAGACCAAAACACAUGCAAUUGGAAACUAGCGCUACAUGGGCUAAUGUAAAAGGCCUAAUGCAUGCUCUUCAUGUUUUAUUUUUACCACUUGCUAGAACAAUAUAUAAAAAAAAAAUAACAUAUGAAAUAUUCAAUUACUCAAUAUUCUAUAAAUAGCAGAGCAAACAAUUGAUGAAGAAUGUCUACAAUUGGGUGAAACAUGUAGAAUUUUAAUGUACUGUAUUUUUUUUUGUUUUUUGUUUUUUUUUGUUUUUAUUUAUGUAGUUAUUCUUGCUUAUUCUUCCAGAAAAAAGUCACUGGAUGUUGGAAAACGACUAUAAAGUGAAACAUCCCAUUAAGAAGAAGAAAAAGAGCAGCUUAAAACCAAGUGAAGUCCCUGAAGUGGUAUAGGCUGACAGCAUACAGAAGAGAAAGGGACAGCUCCUCCUAAGCCUGUUGAUCAAGGAUCGGAUGUCUAUUGGAAGUGAUAUUGGGAGUCAUUGUAAAUGAAGGAUGAGCUGAACUAAAUGUUAGCCAUUGAUCAGUAAAGAAAUCCUUCAGUCAUGACAAUAAGCACUGUUGACAGACUGCAUCCCAGUGAAGUGACUUUGGCACCUUAUGUUAUUCCCUCAUUGCGUGACUAUAAAAUGAAGCAUUGCUUCUGUCAGGUACUGAAAGCAGGAGAUAAAUGGUGUGUUAACUAAAAUGUCCAAUAUUCCAACCAUUUAUUUUUUAAGUGCAUUCCGAUAUACUUGUGUUUAUUUAUAGGUUAUGUGCAUUUCAGAAAAAAUAUGGUAUACAUCUAUUUUACUAAUUACUCAUUAUGUAUAUAAAUUCUAAUAUGUUCUAUUAAUAAUGG